rnacentral:rRNA from 1 species
UAUGUAGGCGGUUUAUCAAGUCAGAUGUGAAAUCCCAUGGCUUAACCAUGGAACUGCAUUUGAAACUGAUGAACUUGAGUAUAAGAGGGGUGGUGGAAUUCCUGGUGUAGUGGUGAAAUACGUAGAUAUCAGGAGGAACAUCUGUGGCGAAGGCGGCCACCUGGCUUAAUACUGACGCUGAGAUACGAAAGCGUGGGAGCAAACA